rnacentral:rRNA from 1 species
AUACGGAGGAUCCGAGCGUUAUCCGGAUUUAUUGGGUUUAAAGGGAGCGUAGGUGGACAGUUAAGUCAGUUGUGAGAGUUUGCGGCUCAACCGUAAAAUUGCAGUUGAUACUGGCUGUCUUGAGUACAGUAGAGGUGGGCGGAAUUCGUGGUGUAGCGGUGAAAUGCUUAGAUAUCACGAAGAACUCCGAUUGCGAAGGCAGCUCACUGGACUGCAACUGACACUGAUGCUCGAAAGUGUGGGUAUCAAACAGGAUUAGAUACCCUGGUAGUCCACACAGUAAACGAUGAAUACUCGCUGUUUGCGAUAUACAGUAAGCGGCCAAGCGAAAGCAUUAAGUAUUCCACCUGGGGAGUACGCCGGCAACGGUGAAACUCAAAGGAAUUGACGGGG